CAGGUAGGACUACCCCUU
rnacentral:rRNA from 1 species